rnacentral:misc_RNA from 1 species
UAUCAUUGCUUUUAUGUUUCCGGUCUUUCAAGUUAGAAGAAUUGGAUUGUAUAGUUUUUUUUUUGAUUAUUUCAGUUAAUUUUUGCUUCAGUUUAUGAAUUAACAUUAGAUUUAAUUCUGUUACGUGAAAUCAUAACGUGUUUAUUAUAAAAAUAGUGUAAAGAAGUAAUAUAAUAUUUGAAUUACUUUACAACCAACAAACGUUUCAAAAAUGACGAUCGGUAAAAAUAAUAAAAUGCUUCAGCAUAUAAACUAUAGGGUUAGAAUCAUUCUUCAGGAUUCAAGAACCUUUAUAGGAACAUUUAAGGCGUUUGAUAAGCAUAUGAAUCUUAUUCUUGGAGAUUGUGAAGAAUUUCGUAAAAUUAAACCGAAGAAUACGAAACAACCUGAAACUGAACAAAAACGCGUUUUAGGUUUUGUACUUUUGAGAGGAGAAAAUAUUGUUUCUCUUACUGUAGAAGGUCCUCCACCUCCGGAGGAAGGAUUGCCUCGAGUUCCUAUUCCAGGCGCUGCGCCAGGUCCUGGUAUAGGACGACCUGCUGGUCGUGGCAUGCCUGCGAGUAUUGCAGGAGUACCUGCAGGUUUACAAGGACCGGUUAGAGGCAUUGGUGGUCCAUCGCAACAAAUAAUGACACCUGGUGGUAGAGGUCAAGUUUCAGCGCCACCACAAAUGCAUCCAGGUGGUCCUCCACGUAUGCCUGUAAGUGGACCACCACCUGGUAUGAUGGGACCACCACCAGGGAUGAUGGGAAUGCCACCUGGAAUGCCACCAAUGGGAAGAGGCGGCCCACCAAUGGGACCACCAGGAAUGCGUGGCCCACCACCUGCAUAUUGAUCUUAUGAUAUUUGAGGAUGGACAUUCCAGAGUGCUACAAAUGUUUCGGGAAGCACUGCUGCUAUAGUUUUAUGCAUGGCAUAUGGCAGGUUCUUACAACCAAAAUUUAAUAUAAGAUGUACUAUUAAGAUCACACACACAAGAAAUUCUACUUCAUCUGAUAUAGUUAUGUGAAUAUGAAAUAUAUGAUUACUUUUAAAAACGUGUCUAUGUUCAUGUGUGCUCUUAGAUCAUGUGUCAACUACAAUAUAUAAAAUAAUCACAA